AUGCGGCGGGCUCGGGCCGCGGGGCUGCCGGCGCUGGCCGCGCUGCUGCUCGUGGCUUUGGCCAGAGCACAGGUGCAGCAGGAGCCAUUCCUGGAGACCACCGAGGGCACCGGCAUCAACAUCACCUGCUCACAUCCCCAAAUCCAGACCAGCGAUUACAUCCACUGGUACCGCCAGCUCCCAGGCCGAGCUCCCGAAUUCCUCGUGAGCAUACUCAAAGACUCCAAGGAUGUGCCGGCCAUUGCAGGAACGCUGUCGGUGUCGGAGGACCGGCGCUCCAGCGCGCUGUGGCUGGCUGCGCCCCGGCGCGGGGACGCGGCCGUGUAUUACUGCGCGCUGGGGGCCACGGGCAGAGGAGCCGGGGCUGCGGCCGGGCACGAACCGCCGCGGGCGGGGCCGGGCGGGGCCAGCAGGGGCCGCUGCCGCUCCCGGCUGACGCCGCUCGGCGGGGCACGGACCGAGCCGCGCCUGGAACCCGCGCCACCCCGAACGGGAACCACCACGGGCCCCGCACACGGCCUGGCCUCCUGCCAGAGACACCUCCGAGCACAAGGAUGCUGCCCUGCAAGGCGUACGAAACAAUUCUGCUGGAGAGGAACAUUUCAGCAGCGGUUGAGGCACUAA